rnacentral:rRNA from 1 species
GACGAACGCUGGCGGCGUGCCUAAUACAUGCAAGUCGAACGAGAGCGACCGGUGCUUGCACUGGUCAAUCUAGUGGCGAACGGGUGAGUAACACGUGGGUAACCUGCCCAUCAGAGGGGGAUAACAUCCGGAAACGGAUGCUAAAACCGCAUAGGUCUUCGAACCGCAUGGUUUGAAGAGGAAAAGCGGCGCAAGCUUCUGCUGAUGGAUGGACCCGCGGUGCAUUAGCUAGUUGGUGGGGUAACGGCUCACCAAGGCCGUGAUGCAUAGCCGACCUGAGAGGGUGAUCGGCCACAUUGGAACUGAGACACGGCCCAAACUCCUACGGGAGGCAGCAGUAGGGAAUCUUCCGCAAUGGACGCAAGUCUGACGGAGCAACGCCGCGUGAGUGAAGAAGGUGUUCGGAUCGUAAAACUCUGUUGUUAGAGAAGAACAAGUGCUAGAGUAACUGUUAGCGCCUUGACGGUAUCUAACCAGAAAGCCACGGCUAACUACGUG